UUGGAGAAGAAUGGUCGGCAGAGUAACUGUUGUUGGCGUGACGGUAUCCAACCAGAAAGCCACGGCUAACUACGUGCCAGCAGCCGCGGUAAUACGUAGGUGGCAAGCGUUAUCCGGAUUUAUUGGGCGUAAAGCGAGCGCAGGCGGUUUUUUAAGUCUGAUGUGAAAGCCCUCGGCUUAACCGAGGAAGCGCAUCGGAAACUGGGAAACUUGAGUGCAGAAGAGGACAGUGGAACUCCAUGUGUAGCGGUGAAAUGCGUAGAUAUAUGGAAGAACACCAGUGGCGAAGGCGGCUGUCUGGUCUGUAACUGACGCUGAGGCUCGAAAGCAUGGGUAGCGAACAGGAUUAGAUACCCUGGUAGUCCAUGCCGUAAACGAUGAAUGCUAGGUGUUGGAGGGUUUCCGCCCUUCAGUGCCGCAGCUAACGCAUUAAGCAUUCCGCCUGGGGAGUACGACCGCAAGGUUGAAACUCAAAGGAAUUGACGGGGGCCCGCACAAGCGGUGGAGCAUGUGGUUUAAUUCGAAGCAACGCGAAGAACCUUACCAGGUCUUGACAUCUUUUGAUCACCUGAGAGAUCAGGUUUCCCCUUCGGGGGCAAAAUGACAGGUGGUGCAUGGUUGUCGUCAGCUCGUGUCGUGAGAUGUUGGGUUAAGUCCCGCAACGAGCGCAACCCUUAUGACUAGUUGCCAGCAUUUAGUUGGGCACUCUAGUAAGACUGCCGGUGACAAACCGGAGGAAGGUGGGGAUGACGUCAAAUCAUCAUGCCCCUUAUGACCUGGGCUACACACGUGCUACAAUGGAUGGUACAACGAGUUGCGAGACCGCGAGGUCAAGCUAAUCUCUUAAAGCCAUUCUCAGUUCGGACUGUAGGCUGCAACUCGCCUACACGAAGUCGGAAUCGCUAGUAAUCGCGGAUCAGCACGCCGCGGUGAAUACGUUCCCGGGCCUUGUACACACCGCCCGUCACACCAUGAGGAGUUUGUAACACCCGGAAGCCGGUGGGCGUAAACCCUUUAGGGAGCGGAGCCGUCUAAGGUGACAAGGUGGGA
rnacentral:rRNA from 1 species